rnacentral:lncRNA from 10 species
AGGAAUGCCUUCUUUUGCUUCUUUAGCUGCCUUGACCAAUGUAGUGAUGCUGACAGAGGCUAUAAAAAAUGUGGCUCUCCAAUCUUGGGCACUUUAUGUAACCUUGCUCCUGGGAGGCCGAGCACAUAUUCAGCAGGAAGGAACUUGCUGGCUCAGUUACCAUGAUUCAUGCCAACAAAUCAAAGAAUGCUGCUAAUGAAUCACAAAAGGUGGAGAAUGCUAAACAGCAAUGCUUCUGUCACUCUGUUGUGGCUAUUAAUCAAGAUGAUGCAUUGCUAAGACAGCUGCCUGGGUAUGACAGGAAGCAAAUUGCUGUGUCUGCCUGUCAGAAGUUUAUUUGCUACUUUGAGUAUAUGGAACAUGAAUGUCAACUGAAUGUAUUUAAAGAAAGUGCAAAUUAAACAUGAAGAUCUUCAAAGGGGUCAGUUUGGAUUUUAUUUGGUGUCCUGAUAUUACCAAUAAUAUUUCUCUGGAGACACGCAAGGGAAAAUUAUGUGAUGCCUGCUAUCAUAGCCAGAUGAGGAUGUACUGAAGGAUCAAAUACACCUAAAUGACAGUCUCAUGGGGUACAUAAUACUUUUAGGUGCGUACAGUUUCCAAAGUUGUAUAAAAACAAUAAAUAUUCAAUGGUAUUAAUAUAUUCAGUGACUUGAUCAGAACUGGCCAUGCAGCACAAGAUAUUCUGUGACAGUUUAAGUAGUUGGUCUUGGAAUACUUACCAAGAGCCUUUAACUUACUAACCUAGUAGGAACACUAGAUGGACUUCCUAUUUCAGGAGAAUGACCAUGGCUGGAAUCAGCCUGGAAGGUUUAACAAAGAUAUAAGCAAAUGAACUAGCUGAAUAAUAAUUCUCAAAUAAAAACAUACAUUACCAUUAACCAUACUGGGAAAAACAUUAUACUCUCAUAUAGAGACAACUAGUGAGUAUUCUAUCAUUUGUGGAAUCUCACAUAAAGGUCAGUGAUUAUUAGACCUAGAAAACCAGGACAGGAAGUUGGGAUUUGUUCUACAGAUAAAUUAAUGCAGAUUGUAAUCGGAUAUUGGGGCUGUUAUAGUCGUUCUCCAGUAGCUUUUGUACACAAGAUAAAAUGGAACCUUUCUUCUCUAUGAUGCAGCUGGCUGGGAUUGGAUAGAUCAUAUAAAACUGUUUUCACUAUUGCAGUAUUACAUAAUGGCACCUGGAAGCCAGGACCUGUAAAACCUGUAUUAGGAUAUCUAAAACAUGAUUAUGAUCAUGAAGAAUAUGGAGUCCAGAACUGACUGAAAUAGGGCCUCUUGUCAACACUCCAAUCAAUGAGAACUUGUAGUACAUAUAAGAAGGUAACUUCUGCUGGAAAGGAAGUACCAUGCUCUUUUUUCUGUUGCAUGGUAUGUUAAAUGCUACUUUUAUCUCCCCACCAUAGAUAUAUGGUAUAACAAAAGGGUUGGUAAAUUCAUUGACAGAACAAAAUGAAAACCAAAUUUAUGCAGAUAAUGGCUUAAGAGUAAUAACAUAUUUCAGGAGAUAGAUUUGAAUCACAAUAUUGAUGAAAUAGCUAUCCAUUGGACAGAAAAAAAGGUGACUUCAGUCUUUAGAAAAUCAAAAAAGAUACCCAAGUAAAUGUUUCCUUCAAAAUAUCUUAAAAAGUUGAUCUCAUAGAAUUAAAGAGUAGAAUGGUGGUUACCAGAGGCUGAGGUUAUUAGGGGAGAGGAAGAGAUGGGAGAAUAUUGGCCAAAGGAUAUAUAGUUACAGUCAGAUAGAAGGAAUAAGUUCAAGAAAUCUAUGUUAAAGCAUGGUGACUGCAGUUAAUGAUAAUCUAUCGUAGUCUUGAAGAGUGCAAAAAGGGCAGAUGAGGUGUUUUACCACAAAAAUGAUAACACAAAAAUACCAUGUGAGAUAAUGUAUUUGUUAAUUAGCUAGAUUUAACCAUUUUACAAUGCAUAUACACUUCAAUACAUCAUGUUAUAGUUAUCAAUAUCUGUCAGUUAAUAAGUAAACAUAAGUAAACAAAUAAAAAUGAUAUAAGAGGUCCUGUUUCUGCCUAGGAUGUAGAAACCUGUGAAAAAACCUUACCUCCCAAAAUAAUAGCAUGGAAGCGAUAGAUGACAUAUAAAAUGAUAACCUAUCUUAAACCCACUAGUUAGCUGAAGUAACAAGGAAAACAAUUACAUAGUUGAGAUCCAUGAAGAAACAAGAUCAAAAUACUGACUCAUCUCUUGAUAAGUUUGGGAAGAGGUGCUGGGGAUGAUACAACUGGGAAAGAAAAAUAUGGGAAAGUUUUAAUGAGUUACUGAAAGUUUAGUCUGGUCUAGUGUACAGACUUAGAACCCAUGAGCGUCAAGGAAACACACGUAGUUUGGACCCACAGGCAGGCCUCAUACAGAGGCCUCAUACAUAGACCUCAACAGAUCAUGCAGGAUAAUGAUUGGGAGACAUGAAGGAGGAGUAGAUAAAUCAUCUGUCAAUCAUGCAUGCCUGAACGAAGGAAACAUGGCUGUUAAAGAAAGAUACACUUUGGGAGGCUGAGGUGGGCAGAUCAUGAGGUCAGGAG